UUUGUUACCCAUGCUGCGUGCAGUGAUAUCCAUGCACCUCAGCUGGGCUGCUGAUUUCACACCUAACUCAGGCUUACCCCCUUGGGCCUGCUUCUAGACAGCCCAGCUGCAUCCCCUUCCUCCUUCAAUCCUAGUUUAAAGCUCUCUCAACAAGUUCUGCCAGUUCACGAGCUAAAAUUCUUCUGCCUUUAACAGAAGGAUGGAGCCUGUCUGGUUCAAGCAGACCAGCUGCCAUAAAAGUUGCCCCCUGAUUAAAGAAUCCAAAAUUCUGCAGGUAACACCAACCCUUGAGCUACUUGUUCAUAAUUUGAGCUCUCCUAUUCCUUUCACAGUUCUUCUUAGCCACCCGCAGGACUGAGGAAAAGACUACCUGUGCCCCUGUCCUAUCAACCACUUGUCCCAGUGCCAUAAAGUCCCUUUUAAUUGUCCUGACACUCCUCUUUUCAAUCUCAUCACUGCCAGCCUGGAGUAUCAGCAGUGGGUAAUAAUCAGAGGGCUAAAUCAGCCCAGGCACUCUCUCAGUGAUAUCCUGUACCCAGGCCCCAGGGAGGCAGGAGACCUCUCUGUGGGGUGGGUCCAGUCCACAUUUGGGGCCCUCUGUUCCCCUCAGGAGGGAGUCACUCACCACGAUUAUCCUUUUCUUUUGAUGUUACAGGUGGGAAUCCUUCUCAGACAUGAAUCAUAAUUGGGAGGCUCAAUGGACAGAUCAUUUUCUUCUAAAUCAUGUGGCUGACUCUCCAGAUCCAGGGGCUCAUACCUGUUCUGAAGUGACACCUGGCUUGGGAGUGGGGGUCAGGAGGAAUUUUUAUUAUUACCUCCUCGAGUAGAUAUCUACUCCCACUCCCCUUCAUCUACCAGGUGUCCUUCUAUUGUCUGAGAGUAACAGGUAUAAAAGACUGUGGGUACCAAGGAGAGCAUUGCUGCACUGCCAGAUCUCAUGGAACCAAGGAUCCACUGGGACACUGCAGGGCCUUGGGGGACCAUGGCACCAUUGUGACACUGUGGGGCCCAAGGAUCCAAGGGACUUUGUGACACCAAGGGGUUCCAUGGAAGCAAAGGGACAUUGUGACUCCGGGAGGCCUCAGGAAUCAUGAAGACCAUUGUGACACUCUGGGGCCUCAAGGAAAUGUUGUGACACCAAGCUGGGUGUGACUGUGUGGAUCUGCUGGAGGGCAGGAGGGCUCUGCACAGGGCCCUGGACAGGCUGGAUCCAGGAAACAAAUCCAACAAGAUUCUUUCAGUCAUCUCCUGAGAGGUGCAGAUUGUUCUGGUGCUUUUCAUGAACUGAUUGUACUCUUGAUUUAGAUGGAGAUUUUAGAAUUUAUUUCAGAUGUAGAAGAAUCUGAAGUGAGCACAGAAACAAACUCCCUCUGUCAGCCCAUUUUCAUCUUCUAGAUCACUUUCAAGAUGUCCUUGGGGGUGUUGGAAUGAUGAUCACACAGCUCUCCACUUCUGGCUGCAGGCUCUGCAGAUUCUUUCUUUGCAUUCAGUCAGGCUUGCAUUCCCCAGGAGUUCUUGGUAGCCUGUCAUGUUUUCUUAGGGUAGAACAGUAACAAUGAAAACCUUACCAAUGGCACAACUGCCCAGCCCACAAGGAAAAGAGAAGAACAAGCUGCCAAGUUCUUCAAAUAUUUGUCCUGCUUUGCUGCAAGAGUUGUGCUGCACACACAGUGUGGAAAGCUGCAGUUGGUGGCACACCUUGUGACAGAAGCUCCACCUCAUUCUUCAGGAAAGGUUCUUGGAAAAAGCAAACAGGACUGAGGAGAAGAUUCUGGAAAAAAUGAAAGAGCUUUUAAGAAAUUAAAUGAAAAUUGAAACAA